CCGUCUAGUUCCAGCCCCUGCCCCGUCGAGCGGCCCAUGGCGGUGCCGGAUCCGGUGUUGGGGUUGAGGCGCGCUGCCCGUGCGUGGGGAGAGGCACCCGGACCUCGCGUGGCCCGGAGCUAUACGACGGCAUAGGGCGUGAGUCGUCUCCCUUAUCCUGCGUCAUCGCCUGCCUCUUCUCCUCCCCUCCUUUCGUUUCGUUGCUCAAUCCUCUCUGUAGUCCUGCUCCCUGGUCCAUGAGUCGUCGCUGGGUUGGUCGCCGAGGGGCUCCGAUGGCGGCGCGCUGGGGUGACGUCGGCUAAGGUCCGUUGUUCUCCUCCUCACUUGGCCUAGAUUUGCUGUGCCGCUGGUCGAUCUAUGAUGGUCUUCGCGUUUUCAUCAGGAAACUACAGCUUGUUUCAGUUACAACUGAGUUCUUGGGUUGCACUUUGUUGUUGGAAACUACUUACUGGUGGAGCUGCUGCUCGGUUCAUAGGUUGGACGGCAUUUACGUCUAUUGUGGCGACGUCAUUCGUUCGCUGGAAGGCACGCGGGGGUUAAUAUCUUCAAAAUUUGUGUCCAAUGUGGCUUGAGAUUACUAAGAUGAAGCUUAACGAAUAUCUAGAUGAAAUCCAGUCAGGCCAUGCCUAUGGUCCUAUAAACGC